GCGGAACCCUGAGCGUCCUCCUGUUGACUGCGGCGCCUCGAUGACGUCAGAGUCCACGUACAUGGUCCAUGUAGGUGAUGCUUCUGAAUGAAUGAGUGUCCCCUCCCAUCUCCAUUACUAGUACUACGGGACGUCUAUAAGAGCAGAUCACCGGGGCAGCCCGCUGAAAUUUUAUAAGAUACCGGAAAACGGAUGCGGGACUUGGAAAGAAAUCUGAAUCAGAGCUCUUUUUAUCUUCUUCUUUUUUUUUUAUCAUAAAAUAACCUUCAUCGUCAACGAUGCGCUUAGAUAGAACACAAUUAGUUUUUUUUUUUUUUUUUUUUGCAUUUUUUAAAUAAAAUAUUUUUUAAAGGAAGUCGGGUUAUUUUAAGAGUUUGAUCGAGGCGUAAAUCAUUAAAACCUCCGCUGGACCGGUGAAGAUUUUUUGUUUAAAAAAAGCACACAGACAGAUCUGUCAAAUUGAGCGCCCGGGCGAACUGCAAUGUCCUGACGUCAGCUCCACAGAUACCCAGCCGGGCUUGCAUAAGCUCCCGGCUUCGGCCCCGUCUCCCUGUGUUCCUGUCUGGGCCCCGUCUUGCGGCUGACUCAUCCAUAACCGGCAUGGAAAUCGAUACGACAAACACGACAACAAGUGGGCUAUGUAACUGUCCUGACUGGCCGUGUGUAUGACAAGCCUCAGGACCUCUGCCAAUGGUGUGUGUAUGCGUGUGUGUGUGUUCUGCUCUGAGCAUCGUGUCACUUUACACCUUUGAUUUGUUUGUGUGGCACCGUUAUUAUUAUUUAAAAAAAAAAAAUAAUAAAACAAGGUUGGACCUUUUGCACUUCCCUCUUUUUGCAUGUCACCGGCUCCCUCCAAGCCCGAUCUGAACCCACUUUGUCUCAAGUCAGAGCAUCAAUACCUUGGCUCUAGACUGCUUACUGCUAAACCUGACCAGAAGUACAGUAACAGUCUACAGUCAUGGCUACUGACGCCUGGCGAACCUCUGCACCGGAGAGUGUGACUGUGAUGAGCCGCGCGAACCACCAAGGCUGCACACAAACACACACAGAAACACACACGCAAACGCGCACAAACGUGUCAACGUCAGCGGUUGCCACAGCCAACCCUCCUCUUCCCUCCUGCUGUCUCCAUGGUAACCGUGGCAUUAGAUUGUUACUGUAGCAACAGCACCACUGGUAACAGUCUACAGCCAUGGUCGCUAGGGGGCAAUACACACACCUAAAACCAGAUUAUUGGCGACACGGAGGAAAAGACUGCAUGUUUUUAAUUUCAGGGAGUCAAAGUGGGAUUUAUGUAAUGCAUCUGAAAAUCUGAAGAGUCUGAGUGGCAGUUGGGUGAAAUCAGAUUGAGAUUAUCUUGAUGUUUGAAGUAGAUUCGUGUGGCUGACAGCUGCUGCUGAUUCGACUAUUUUACCUAGUUUCUUUGAAUGUGCAAAUUGGAAUAAAAUAAUUUUUUCUCUAAAUAAAGAAUUAAU